CAGGAGUUGGAUUCCAAGUUCUUCUCUUCUUGAACAAAGAAUUGAAUGAAAUGAGCAAACUGCAAUGGCAAAGUUUAUUUGAAAAAAGUCUCCAGUUUCGGGGCAGCAUCUGAGUGGAGAUGCGUCCCUGCUCAUGCUGACAGAUGAAGAAGGCGGUCGGGCCGAGGACCGUGCUGGAUGCAGGCACCAGCAGGCAGUAGGAGCAGGAUCGUACUGAGACAAGCGUGGUGGUUCACACAGUAACUCCAGCAUUCUGGAAGACGGAAACGGGAGGAUCACAAGUUUGAGCCCAGCCUGGACACCAUAGUGUGAAGAAGGCUUCAGUUUAUUUGUUUCGUACUUAAGCAGUCUUUUCUUUCAUGACGUCUACAUUUUGAGUCAUAGUUAGAAUGUCUUAACCACUUUAAGGUAAUGAAUUAAGUGGAUUGAUGAGUUUGUGUUUCUAUUCUUACUUUCAAUCUUUGAUCCAUUUAAAAUUAUCUUGUAUAUCAUAUGGGGUUUGGAACCCAUCUAUCUACUCACAUCGCUUAAUUUUUGUGUGUAUGGUUCAGAAAAAGCAAUUCAUUAUAUAUUAAAUGACUCAAAUUUUCCCCCACUUCCUCAUUUUCUUUUGUAGGCAUGAGGCUAGACACAGGAAUCCUUGAUAUUUUCUUCUAAUAUUACAAGUGGUUUUAUGAAAG
rnacentral:lncRNA from 1 species